UUUGGCGCCAGGACGUUAGCAAACCUAUUCAAAGGCUAAAACAAGCUGAGGGAAGUCAUUUAGAAAUUGUGCUCAACUUAGCUUUGUUGUACCUGCAGGAAAACGGAGUUCUGGGUGUCCGGUAUGUGAUGCACAAACACUCUGUGGAAGCUCGGCUGCGGUUUAUGUGCUUCUGAGAAAACAAUCAGAAUCUGCUUUAUUGGCUAGAACAUCGGAAAAACAAGACACUGGGUUGAACCCGUCUGGAUUCACAAGGACUGUGGAAACUGGACCAAAAAGGUGAGUGACAGCCUGGAAGUUGGCUAAUGUAGCCAUACUGUGUUGUAGGCUAACCUCACCUGUGCUGCUUCAUGUUUAGCUUGCUAGCUUUUUAACAAAACAAAGGCUGGUUGUUGAGGAAAAUGUGUUUGACUUUACUGCGCCAUGAGCAGCAGACCAGUGUAGUAAAGUGUCUUCAUAUUUAUCUGAAAGUUCAUGUGUUUCAGCAAGUAGACGGUCAGAGGGACACACAAGCGCCUGUUGGUUCACAGGUUUCACAAGAAGAAAAUGCUUUCGGUCUGAACAUUGUGGGCCCCAAGUUAACUGGCUGAGUAGA